UACGAAGGGUGCAAGCGUUGCUCGGAAUUACUGGGCGUAAAGCGUGCGUAGGUGGUUCGUUAAGUCUGUCGUGAAAGCCCCGGGCUCAACCUGGGAAUGGCGAUGGAUACUGGCGGGCUAGAGUGCGGUAGAGGAGAGUGGAAUUCCCGGUGUAGUGGUGAAAUGCGUAGAUAUCGGGAGGAACACCAGUGGCGAAGGCGACUUCCUGGCCUGUUCUUGACGCUGAGGCGCGAAAGCUAGGGUAGCAAACGGG
rnacentral:rRNA from 1 species